UUGAAUAUUGCUUAAAAGAUCUAACCAUUAAAUCAAGCAAUAUUUCACAUUCACCAGAAGAAGUACAAUCAUCGUAUUUAAAAAUUAUAUCAGAUCGAAAACUUUCAACUGAGAGUGUUAUUCCCUCAGAUAAUAGCUGUGGCAAGUAAAGGAGGACAGAUUUUAAAGGAGGCUAUCCAGAGAAUGUCUUUUGCGUUAUUCACUAAUAACCUCUGCUGUAAACUUAACUGGUCUGGUAUUACUAUAAAUGACAAUGAAAGUAACUUUGUAAAACAAAGACUUACACUUGCUUAAAACUGUAAAAAGAAAUCCUGCAACAACUUCAGCAACUGAAUCAGAUUUUCAAUAUGAGGUGGAGCGUUUUUUGCGUGGUGCAUCAGACCGCAAUGGCGGAAAAAAAGUUAAACAAGACCAAAAAAACAAACAAGCCAAGAAAAAAGUGAUGCCAACAUCAAGUUUUUUAAUGCCAUUAAAUAAAGAGGCAUUUUUUAGUUCAGAAGAUGAAUAAUAUUGUUAAAUAAAAUAAGCAUCUUUAUUUACAAAUUUGUUAUCUUUAUUUUAU